rnacentral:misc_RNA from 1 species
ACUGCGAUGCCCCUGAAAACAAUGCAUCCACUUUCAUUGUUGAGAAAGACCAGGAUCCCUUUGGCAAUGAGAUGGAUAAGGAACAUUUCAGCAGUGAAAGCAACAAGAAGCCCUCCAGCCCUGAAAGCACCAAUAAGCCAGAGUCCAGCCAUGGUACCUCUAGAUUCGCACACAGACUGCAAUGAACCUGAAAACAAAGCACACACUUUCAUCAUUGAGAAAGACCAAGAGCCCUUGGUAAUGAGAUGGAUAAGGAUCUCUUCAGCGGUGAAAGCAUCGAGAAGCCCUCCAGUCCUGAAAGCACCAAUAAGCAAGAGUCCAGCCAUGGUAGCUCUCUAGAUUUGCACACAGAAGGCGAUCAUCCUGACAACAAUGCACCCACUUCCAUACUUGAGAAAGUCCAGGAGCCCUUUGGUGAUUGAUAAGGAAAACUCUUCAGCAGUGAAAGCAGUUUAUAAGAAGUCCUGCAGCCAUGAAAAACAAGUUAAAUUGUGGGGAACCAUAACUGUUAUAAAAGAUGAGCAGGAAUGUAAUGCAUUUGCAAUGUGUUCUACAGUUUUGGCACUUGGAAGGUGGUCACAUUUCACAACGAGACAAAGUUCUUUGAAGGGCGUUACUUAAAGCAAAUGAUAUAUUCACUGUAGGAAGAAGACUAUUCAAAUGGAAAUAUCCACUUGUACAUGUUCCUGUAGAUAGCGGAAUUGCAGCUGCAGCAUCCAGGGAAGUGCCUAAGCAUGGGGAAGAUCCUUCUCAAGAGUCAAGCCAUAGUAGCACUGAAGAGUCCCACAAAGGCAAGCCUUCUAGACAACACCAAGGUACCAUUGGGCCUUAUAGGCAAUGAGGAUCCUUCUGGUCAUGAGGGUGUUACGAUGCAAGAGUAGCAGAGAUCCCUGAUUUCAGCAGUGAUGAGUAGCCCUCAAGGUAUCAAAGUGACAAAGAAUACUCUCUUAGUGAAAGCGAGAAGGAGGCCUCUGACCAUAAAAGUAAUCUGGAGCCUCUUGACUUAGAAAGUAUUGAUGACAGUGUAAACGAUCCUGAUGUAUACAUACUGAAAUCUGUAUAUGUGGAAAUCUUGUGAAUUUGCUAUUCGGGCUAUUACCUGACAUUUAGCCAUAGUUUGACUGAUAUAUUGUUGUGCUUACAAACUGUAACAGCCAAGAUUCUUACUUGCCAAAUUUUACAAUUAUACACUUUGUAGAAUAAAAGUUAUCGAUACAAGAAAAUUACUUAGUUUCCUUGGGGUUUUAUUUUUUUCUAUGUAGAGGAUUAAAGAUCUUUAUGUGAGAAUGAAUGUGGAUAUACCAGCCAUUUUUUCCAAGGGCUGUACAGUUAAAAUUGUGUUUAUUCUGAUGAAAUUGUAUUCUCAAAUUAAGUGUCUUGAUGUCAUGUUUUUAAACUACAUGUAUCCAUUAAAUGCAUACUUACAAUACUAUAUUGUUUUGUAGCUUGACUUAUCGAAGAAAAAGUAGAGCUAUUACACUUGCCUUGGGGUCUGCGUCACUGUUGGUUAAGUUUUUUGUUAAAGUCUAAAAUCUCUGUUAAUAUUAACUCAUUAAUACCUGGAGCCAUAUCUCCACUUAAUUACUGUUACCAAUUUUCCAGUACAUUCCUAAGCCACUAAUCCAUUUAUCUGCUCUGUAUGGCUGUGGAUUUUCACCAAUAAUCGAUAAGAUCUCUGGAUUCUUUGGUCAAUAUUACGGACAUACAUCUGUUUACUGUAACUUAUUAACACAUUCUAAUGAUCAAGAAGACUGAAACGUUCAAAACUGAUAGGGAAAUUUAUGAUCUCUUCAAUGAUGUAAAAUUUUCUAAUAUUUUAAUAUGCAAAAGCAUUUUACAGGCCAAAUGAAUCCACAUAAAUAUGGAAAACUGCAGUAUUCAAGAAGAAUUGGACUUAGAAAAACAGCCAUUAUUUGAUAUUAGUUUUAUAUUUAUUCUUCUACUGCUAAAAUUUAAAACAAAUGGCAUUAUGCAAGAAAAGAAUUAUAUUUUAUGUAAUAGAAUUAAAACUACUGAAAUGGAAAAACACUGUAGUAUAUUAUAGAAAGUGAAGAUAAACAUGCAAUAUCUAGAAGCAACUUUCUAAUUCAGAUAUUUAGUGAUGAAUAGAUUGAAAAUACAUGUUCAAAUAAUAAAUAUUUCGAUUGUUUCCGGGUAAUAUUAGUCUUUUCUGUGAAAUAUUUUCAUUGGUAGAAAUUGCUAGAAAGAACUAAAAACGUUUAACAGCAGUCCAACCGUUAAUAUUGUUACAAACGUAAAAUCACGUCACGCGGCAUACAGUACUAUCAGGCAGAGAGCGCAUUUCUACAAUCCUCAGCAUACACGUCUAUCAUCUUUCGACGGAUAAAUACGACAUGCGGUACUCGAUAAGAGUUGAAACGAACGCAAAAGUGCGAUUUGCGUCCUUAAUUAGUUAAAGCUAUCAGAGUCUGCACAACAAUCUCAAUAACUCUGACUUGAAUUUUAACAGAGUUAUGCCCCUUUUAGCCCUUAAAAUUUGAUGGAAGUGGGUGCAUUGUUUUCAGCUUCAUCGCCUACUGUAUGCAAAUCUACAGAAGUACCAUGGCUGGACUCUGAAACCAGACAACAGAGGGGUUUAUUUAUUCACUUUGACAGAGCUUUACACAUAUUUCGUAUAACAUCAUACAUACAUGAUACGAGCAACUUCAUACAUAUAUUACGAGGUAUUAUGCAUAGACACACUAACCAUUCAACAAAUUCUGAAUACAGUAUGAGGUACAUGAAUGUGUAUGAAUACUGAAUCUUGGCAUAUACAUUUGAAAUCAUUUCAGAGUCUACACAACAAUCUCAAUAACUGACUUGAACUUUAACAGAGUUAUGCCCCUUUUAGCCCUUAACAUUGUUUUAUAAGUCUGAUAUUUUGAGUACUUUCAAAUUAAAUGAUUCGAAACUUGAAAUACUUUAUAUUUACUAUCAAAGUCUAUGCCAGGUUAAGGAAUCCUCAUAACUCUAUUUUGAUUUUUUGACAGAUUUAUGCCUCUUCUAAAUUACAGAUUUUUGGUAAAGUUUUUUGUUAGUCUAUUAUCUUGAAUACUUUCAAAGGUAUUAAGUCGCAACUUGAAAUGAUUCUUUACUAUCAACAUCACCAUGGAAAGCAAUUUCUUUAGGUCAGUUUUGAUUUUUAGAGUGAUGCCAUUUUUAUAACUUUUAUUAGAAAUUUCCAUUAAAGUAUUUUUACAAUGUUCAAUAAUUUAAUAGUACACUACCAAAGAUAUUCAACUGGACCAUGGCAUUCAUAUUUAAUAGAUCCUUUGUUAGUUAGUCCCUCUGUUUCAAAACUUGUUUGCUCAAAAACUUUUGAAUGGAUUAAUAGAUUGAAAUAUUUUGGUAGACAGGUAUAUAUCUGUAAUGCGCAGGUAAAGUUAAAUUUUUGCCAAUAAAUUUUGACAGAGGUGUAGCUUCUUUAUGAAUGAACAUUUAGUUAGUCUGUCUGUGUCAAAACUUGUCCGCUCAAUAAUUUUUGAAAGGAUAAUGGAUUUGUUACAAAGUUAUGUAACCAUAAAAUGCAGUCAAAGUUCAAUUUUGGCUCUGGUACAAUAAUUUUGACAGAGUUAUGGCCCCUUUUCAAUUGUUCUGAUAAGUAGAUGUGCUGAAUAACACUUGAAAAAUUUAAUUCAAAAUUUAUGUGCUAAGCAAUUUUAUGGAAGAUAGAUUUAAAUUUUGAAAAUACUUUGUAGUAAUUUAAAGCUAGAUUUUAAUGGAGUUCAGUUAUCAUUUCAUGACUGUAAUUUUCAUUGUUUUCUUAAAAGCUUUUCUAUGACUAAAACUGAACUAAAUACUUAUUUAGCUUCUGCGCAACAUGUGCAAAAAUCACCGGUGAGGAUGCCUGUUUAGUCGUAGGAUGUAUGUCUAACAUAAAUUUUCAUAAAAUUACAUAUCAGGCAAUAACAGAUAAAGCCAAUAUAGUCAUUACUUACUGUAUAAAUUUUAGUUUGUGACAGAGAUAAUGUUGUGAUUUUACAUGUAGCUUUGGUGUUGGUUUAGCUUUUGGAGACUGAUUUAAUGGAUUCAAACCUUACAAAUGAAGCAAAACAUGUGCAGUAGUAGAUGAAGAGAAACACCUUUCACGUGAAUGAAUUCGAAUAUUUUAUAAUUCGUUACUGUCUCCAUAAUAUAAUGUAGAAGUUAUUAUUUGCAUUUGUUACAACAUCAUUUAGUGACAGAUUUGUUAGGAUGUUUUGUAA